UGGCAAUGUAAGCAAUAUUUGUGUUUUACAAUAGACAAAUAAUUUGAAACAAAAAUGUGUCAUUUAAAAAAAGGCGGUGGUGGAGGUGAUAAAGGCGAUAAAGGUGGUAAUAAAAAUAAAGGUGGUGGAGCUGAUAAGGGUGGUGGGGGUGGUAAAAAAGGACAAGACCAAAAGGCAGCUGCUGGUGGAGCAGGAGGUGCCAAAAAAGGUGGCAAGAAAUAGUUUCCAGAAAUUAAAGAUUAAAAAGAUAUUCAGUUUAUUUAUGUUUAAUAAUGUUGUUUUUUUUAUUUUAUAAUAAUUUUUAAACCAUUAAAAUAUGUUAAUAAUACUUUAUAAAAGUAGAGACAGAAACAAUUAAAUAAAUUAUGAAAAUAUUUUUUUUUUAAGAUUUUCUUAUAACAAUUGCACAUUUGUAUUUUUAUUUUUAUAAGUAUGUUUGUAUGUAUAGUAUACGGAAAUAUUAAAAUACUUGCUGUAAUAAAAAAGUAUGUAUGUAUGUA